UCUCUUGCUAAGAGGUUGAUUGGUUCAUCUUUUUGGUUACCCCUCGGUAAAAACGUCCGUCAGCACGUUUGCAAACGCUUUGUCGUUCAAGCACAAGAUGGAAGACUUUUGCUAAGGCCGCAUCUGCGCAAGCUCUUCGUGGCGUAAGAUGUUCUUGCAACGAUCCCCAACGGAUUCAAGCCAGACCAGAUGCACUCGUUCGUCCACCUGAAUGUGCUUGUGGCCGAUGAUACGAGGGUCACGAGCCGUGACGGUAGCACAACUAGCAAGCCAGCUGACGCAUCAUCCAUCAAAACACAGACUUCCUUUCAACUCUACUCAUAUUCUGACCAAAGUCCACGCAAGGCGCCAAACGUGAUCAAAACAUCACGUCUCACCCGGACAUCUUCAUGGCACUGGAGAAAGAUAAGUCCAAGUGAUUUGGCGAGGCCCGCGGGGAACUACCGCAGGCGGGCUGUCGGGACGCUGGACAGCCGCCAAACAUCUCGUUAGUAGCGGCUCCGUGACGUGGCCUCGUUCCUCGACAAGGAAAGCCCGCUCUGCCUACUCUGCCUUUUUCCAACCGGCUCCUUGCUUGAGGUGGCACAAACGGGCUCACCUGGAUUCAAUCAAGCCAAAUGUGCUCACCUGGAUUCAACCACGCCAAACGUGCUCACCUGGAUUCAAUCAAGCCAAACGGGCUCACCUGGAUUCAAUCACGCCAAACGGGCUCACCUGGAUUCAAUCAAGCCAAACAGGCUCACCUGGAUUCAAUCACACCAAACGGGCUCAUUUGUGCCACUUCAGGCUCUCAUCGAGGAAAGAUGAAGUAAGCCUCAAUCUGAAAUAUUACGUAGAAAGUAUUUGCGGUUCGAUGCCGCCAAUUGAUGAGAAAGCAAGUUUUAGUCUUUCGGCUCAUCGUUCUAGCUACAUUUACAUUUAAAUCAAUGAAAAGUCCAAAAGCUUUUUGUGGAGUCUACAUUUCAGUCUUCAGCAAGACAAAACCGAACAGCCUUUUUGCCACUUUUUGCUUUGUCAGCAAGAGGACAAAGCUGAGAUUGCUUUUGAGCCCCAUCACACUGGAUUUCUCUGGGCAUGUUUGGUAAACAUAAGGGGAAGCGCCCCCUCAAGCCAACCUUCCCCGAUCUAUCCCUUGGCCAUUGUGAAGGCGGUGGCUGGCGACGUUUGCAAGUGUCAACAAGAUGGCCGCUCUUUUUAUGACACAUGCGUCCCCUCGCGUCGGAAGGAAUCCGUUUCACAGUGACAGCGACACGCGUUCACAGAUGAGCACGAGUGAAAAGGGGGGGCCUCCAUUGAGCAGGAAGGGAGCCGACUGGCCGGCCAGGUUCUACCCCGUGGAGAGAGUUUGGCGCACAACCAGGUUCCCAUGCACUGGCAUUUGCAAAGUUUCAGGGUGUGCCGAGUGAGUCUGAAGCCAGCGAGCCGACCAGCCAACGGGCCAGCCAGCCAGCCAGCCGGCCAGCCAGUCAGCCGGCCACCGAGCGGCGGCUGAACUUUUGAACCUGUCACCUUGCCUUUCUUCCCCACAACUGCAUGUGAACUUUGCCUGCUUUUGUGUUAUGAGCCGAAGAUGGACUCUGAGUGAACUUUCCACUCGUUCCCCGUUUGGACGCACGCAGGCACAAAUACUCCCCCCGACACGUGACGCGCGACAAACUCCAGCAGGAAUUCAUUAUCUCUUCGAACGUUUUGACUUAGUAAAUGAUUGCAACUAGA